rnacentral:lncRNA from 1 species
AAUUGUACAUUUCUUUCUAUCCUUUGUCUUCGUAAAAUUGGGUGACUAAUGCGGCCCGGUGCCCGUUAGUCUCCUUUCUGUCUAAAAAAAAAAAUCCCCUCCCCUUGUUUUCAUCCCCUUUCUUUUUUUUUCUUUUUCCUUCUAUUAUUUUUUUUUUUAUGCCCUGUGGGAGUUUUGCCUUUCAUUCUAAAUCAUUUCAUUUCCGGAACAAAAUGUGUUGCAGGAUCUUCAUCAUUUGCUCAAAAACAAGAUCCACACGACAACAUGCUAUUGGGUCGAACAUGGUC